rnacentral:tRNA from 1 species
GGGGCCGUAGCUCAAUUGGUAGAGCGCUACAAUGGCAUUGUAGAGGUCAGGGGUUCGAUUCCCCUCGGCUCCACCA